rnacentral:lncRNA from 1 species
UUGGGGCAAAUUCGGGAAAUUUCGGAGAAUUUGGGGCGGAUUUUCAGGUCCAGGGGGGAAAAUGGGGACAGAUUUGGAGAUCUGGGGGCAAACCUGGGGAAGCUCGGGGCUGAUUUGGGGGUGGGGGCAGAUUUGAGGUGUUUCAGGACAGAUCUGGGGGUCCCAGGCUCCCAUCCUCCACCCCUUCCACGUGAAAAUCGCAAUAAUUUCCGAUUUCACCCAAAUCCGUUCCCAGCCUGGGGCAGCCUCACUCCCCCGCCCCCUCCCCGAGCUCGGAGCUUUGCGUGUAAAAAACCCAAUUUUUGCGCAAUGGCUGAAAAGUUCCAUUUCCUGGGGCCGGCCGGCGCUUCCUUCCCGCGCCCGCGCCCCGGCCCGGCUGCCCCGGCCGCUCCCGGCUGAUUCCUCCGUCCCGGGGAGCUCCCGGAGCGGGAGGAGGAUGAAGAUGAGGAUGAGGAUGAGGAUGAGGAUGAGGAUGGGGCUCCUUCUCCUCGUGGCUGCGGCCUCGUGCUUGAGCCAGACUGGGCACGAGCCCGGCGAGGAUUCCCGGGGUUCCCGCCGCCGUUCCGGUACCGCCGCCGCCCCGCGCCUCCUCCCGGCGCCGCUGCUGCUCCGGCUGCCCCCGGAGCCGGGCCCGCCCCGGAUCCGCUGCCUGGCCCCGCGGCGCUUCGCCGGCAGCACCUUCGAGCUGCUGCGGGGGCUCCCGGCGGCGCCGCUGCGGAGCCUCCCGGCCGCUCCCGAGCGCCACUGGGCCGAGUUCGCCCUGCCCGGGGCCGCCGGCUGCUUCCGCUGCCGGUACCGGAGCCACAACGGCAGCGCCUGGCUGGAGUCGGAGCUGAGCCCCGGCACCGGCGGCUCCGGUGCGUGCGGGGAACCCCGGGGGCAUCCCCGUCCCGCAUCCCGGGGCCGGCCCGGAACCGAUUUCGGGGUUUUUCUCCCCAGAUUUGGGCGAUGCCGAGUGUCAGCCGAGCACGGGCACCGGCACCACCGCGGCACCCGCAGCCACGGCCGGGACCCCGCGGAACGGCACCGGGACCCCGCGGAACGGCACCGGGACCCCGCGGAACGGCACCGAUCCUCCCUGGGUCCUCCCGGUCUCGGUCGGUGUCGCCUUCCCGGGGCUGCUGCUGCUGCUGGGGGCUGCGACCGCGGCCGGGCGAGGUGGGAGGGGGCUCGGAACCGGGAAUUCGGGGGGGGUUCAGAACCGGGAAUUCGGGGGGGGUUCAGAACCGGGAAUUCGGGGGCUGCGAACCGGAAUUCGGGGGUUCAGAACCGGGAAUUCGGGGGGGGCUCGGAACCGGGAAUUCGGGGGGGGUUCAGAACCGGGAAUUCGGGGGGCUCAGCGCCCAGGGACCCCACUCCACUCUGCUGGGCCACCCCGGUGCCACCGGUUCUGUCCUCACAGGCGUCCGGCGGCGGCGCGCACAGAGCCCCACGGUGCCGGCCCCGGUAAGGCCGGACCCCCGUGACCCCAAAUCCACCGCGGGCCCCUCAGUCCCACCCCGGGACCCCCAAAAUCCACACCCGCGCCCCUCCUGUCCCGGCAGAGCUUCCCCUUGGCCCCCGCGCCGACGCCGCCGUGCCCGUGAGGGGUCCCGGGAGUCCCGGUGAGGACACGGAGCCGGGAGCGCGUCCUGGUGUCCCCACGGAUCGAGGCUGGCCCUGGAUCCGGUCACCGGGAGCCCUCCGGGAGGAACCCCUCGCCCCCUCCGGUGCUGCCGGGGCUCCCCCGGACUCUCGGCUGCCAAUAAAGGUGUUCGUCUCCAGCGCUGCCGCAUUCCCGGUGUCCCAUUCCCAUUCCCGUUCCCAUUCCCGUUCCCGGUGUCCCGUUCCCAUUCCCGUUCCCGGUGUCCCGUUCCCGUUCCCCGUUCCCGGUGCCCGUUCCCGUUCCCGGUGCCCGUUCCCGUUGCCCUCCCAUCCGCCAGGGGGCGCCACCGCCCCCUCGCGCCGCCGGGAUUUGGGGGCGUGUCCAUCCCGGGGUGGGCGUGUCCACCGCGGGG